rnacentral:lncRNA from 1 species
CAAGGAGAUGUCAAGUGGCACUAAUUGCUCCAGCUGUUGUAAGGGACAAGGAUCUUAUCCUGAAGCUGCCCUAUGAGACCAGUUUCCUUAUUUUUCUGCUCCACUUCAUUAUGUGGAUGAUCAAUGUGUUUUCACUGAAACAUCAAGGAGCCAGUCACAAAAAGGAGUGUGUGAAAUGUUUGGACCUCUGGGAUCAGACAGAGAACUGGAAAUCAGGAUUUCUGGCUUCUCUUCCUCCAUCUCCACCACCCGCCUCUCUCCUGCUCUCUGAUCAUGGAGAAGCCUCUCGGUCUGGGUGGUUAGACAGGAUACUACAGAGAGUGAAAUUAGCUGAGGAAAAAGCAGAUGCACCUCUGUAAUGGCGUUACAGAAAUAAUGGAAGAAGUUCAGCCUCUCCUUGAAGCACCGGGGAGCAUCAGGCCCCUGUGGAUGGGUGACAGCGGUGCUGAGGCAUCAGCGCUUCACACCUUUCCCAGCAUCUCCCACAUGAUUGCAGUGACUUUGCUGUUGCCAGCAUCUUUGAGGUCC